rnacentral:rRNA from 1 species
AUUACUGAGUUUACGCUCUACAACCCUUUGUGAACAUACCUAUAACUGUUGCUUCGGCGGGUAGGGUCUCCGCGACCCUCCCGGCCUCCCGCCUCCGGGCGGGUCGGCGCCCGCCGGAGGAUAACCAAACUCUGAUUUAACGACGUUUCUUCUGAGUGGUACAAGCAAAUAAUCAAAACUUUUAACAACGGAUCUCUUGGUUCUGGCAUCGAUGAAGAACGCAGCGAAAUGCGAUAAGUAAUGUGAAUUGCAGAAUUCAGUGAAUCAUCGAAUCUUUGAACGCACAUUGCGCCCGCCAGCAUUCUGGCGGGCAUGCCUGUUCGAGCGUCAUUUCAACCCUCAAGCUCUGCUUGGUGUUGGGGCCCUACAGCUGAUGUAGGCCCUCAAAGGUAGUGGCGGACCCUCCCGGAGCCUCCUUUGCGUAGUAACUUUACGUCUCGCACUGGGAUCCGGAGGGACUCUUGCCGUAAAACCCCCAAUUU